rnacentral:rRNA from 1 species
GAUGAACGCUGGCGGCGUGCCUAAUACAUGCCAGUCGAGCGAACGGACGAGAAGCUUGCUUCUCUGAUGUUAGCGGCGGACGGGUGAGUAACACGUGGAUAACCUACCUAUAAGACUGGGAUAACUUCGGGAAACCGGAGCUAAUACCGGAUGAUAUUUUGAACCGCAUGGUUCAAAAGUGAAAGACGGUCUUGCUGUCACUUAUAGAUGGAUCCGCGCUGCAUUAGCUAGUUGGUAAGGUAACGGCUUACCGAGGCAACGAUGCAUAGCCGACCUGAGAGGGUGAUCGGCCACACUGGAACUGAGACACGGUCCAGACUCCUACGGGAGGCAGCAGUAGGGAAUCUUCCGCAAUGGGCGAAAGCCUGACGGAGCAACGCCGCGUGAGUGAUGAAGGUCUUCGGAUCGUAAAACUCUGUUAUUAGGGAAGAACAUAUGUGUAAGUAACUGUGCACAUCUUGACGGUACCUAAUCAGAAAGCCACGGCUAACUACGUG